rnacentral:misc_RNA from 1 species
GUUCAAAGCAAAGACAAUCACAUUCUUCUGCUUUUGGGCCUGAGAUUGAUGACUGAGGAAUUUGCUACAGUAGGAUUUCUACAUAUUCAAUUCAAAAGUCAUAGUAGGAAUAAAAAAUCCUUCCUGCAAAGUGAACUGUUCCUGGAAAAAGCUUCUCUUUCAUGAAUUUCAAUUUCUUUUAGAAUAUAAGGAUACAUUUCUUUUAUUCUAAUUGUAGGAAGAAAAGCG